CGUAUCACCCAAGACAACUUUACGGAGUUGACGAUUGACGGAGCGAAGCGACGUCAAAGCGUUCAUUAAAGUCGAGUUGGCUUAGGGAUACGUUCGUUGGGUAGGGGAGCGUUCUGUAAGCCUGUGAAGGUGUGUCGUGAGGCAUGCUGGAGGUAUCAGAAGUGCGAAUGCUGACAUAAGUAACGAUAAAGCGGGUGAAAAGCCCGCUCGCCGGAAGACCAAGGGUUCCUGUCCAACGUUAAUCGGGGCAGGGUGAGUCGACCCCUAAGGCGAGGCCGAAAGGCGUAGUCGAUGGGAAACGGGUUAAUAUUCCCGUACUUGGUGUUACUGCGAAGGGGGGACGGAGAAGGCUAUGUUGGCCGGGCGACGGUUGUCCCGGUUUAAGCGUGUAGGUGUGUGUUCCAGGUAAAUCCGGUUCACUUUAACACUGAGGCGUGAUGACGAGGCACUACGGUGCUGAAGCAACAAAUGCCCUGCUUCCAGGAAAAGCCUCUAAGCAUCAGGUAACAUCAAA
rnacentral:rRNA from 1 species